rnacentral:rRNA from 1 species
UCCCGCCGGACCUGACUGCUAUCGGAUUGAUACUAAGCCAUGCGAGUCUUUGUAGUAAUACAAGGCAGACGGCUCAGUAACACGUAGUCAACCUACCCUAUGGACAAGAAUAAUCUCGGGAAACUGGGCAUAAUUCUUGAUAGAUCAUAAUGCCUGGAAUGGUUUAUGGUUAAAAUGAUUCGUCGCCAUAGGAUGGGACUGCGGCCUAUCAGCUUGUUGGUGAGGUAAUGGCCCACCAAGGCGAUUACAGGUACGGGCUCUGAGAGGAGAAGCCCGGAGAUGGGUACUGAGACACGGACCCAGGCCCUAUGGGGCGCAGCAGGCGAGAAAACUUUGCAAUGUGCGAAAGCACGACAAGGUUAAUCCGAGUGAUUUCUGCUAAAGAAAUCUUUUACCAGUCAUAAAACCGCUGGUGAAUAAGGGGUGGGCAAGUUCUGGUGUCAGCCGCCGCGGUAAAACCAGCACCUCAAGUGGUCAGGAUGAUUAUUGGGCCUAAAGCAUCCGUAGCCGGCUUUGUAAGUUUUCGGUUAAAUCCAUGUGCUCAACGCAUGGGCUGCCGAAAAUACUGCAUAGCUAGGGAGUGGGAGAGGUAGACGGUACUCAGUAGGUAGGGGUAAAAUCCUCUGAUCUAUUGAUGACCACCUGUGGCGAAGGCGGUCUACCAGAACACGUUCGACGGUGAGGGAUGAAAGCUGGGGGAGCAAACCGGAUUAGAUACCCGGGUAGUCCCAGCUGUAAACGAUGCAGACUAGAUGAUGCAUUGGCAUAAUAGCCAUUGCAGUGUCUCAGGGAAGCCGUUAAGUCUGCCGCCUGGGAAGUACGUACGCAAGUAUGAAACUU